GUAGGAGCAGCUGCACUUGACUCUCCCGAAACCGAAACUGAAGCACACGCAAAUCUCGCUCGCCCAGUUCUCGCUCUCCCACACCCGACUCACCGCCCCAUCUCGCCGGACGCCGGCUACCGCCCUCUGCCAUCCGCCAUCCCUGCCCACCGGUCCCUCCCCUACCCAGAUGGACGCCGCCGCCGCAGCCCUCUGUCUCCGCAACCUCGCCCCAGCUCCGCCUCUCCAGCCUCGCCGGCUACCAGCCGCCCCCACUUCCCCACCGUCCGGCGCCGCCCUGAGUGGUCGUCGCCAUGCCGGCAUCGAGGAUGCCGCGUGCCAGGCCCUUGCCUCCGCCGUUCCGUGCUCGUGCCCUUCACCGUCGGGUGCCUCAACCCCCUGACCCGAAUCCUCAUUCUCCCCAUUCUGAAAAUAAAAAUCACUUCUUUCUUGUGCAGGCAGCCGGAGAAGCGAGGCGGGAUGCGAUGCUGAUGGUCGCCGCCGUGCGCGGGGUGCAGUGGUAGGAAGACGUACCUAGUUUUUUUUCAUGGCCAGGGAGAUGGGGAUAUCACACCAUCUGCCACUCAAGUUCCGCAUUGGCGGAUGUGGCGUACUGUUGAUGUUGCUGGAGAGGCCGCCGCCGCUGGCCCUCUGCUACUCCGUGUGGAUGACCAGACCUUCCUGGAGCAUGAGGUGUCCAGGAAGUAUGGGUUCCAGGCAAUCUCAUUAUCUCUAGCGUGUCGUGGCUGUGUUUGCAUAUUGCCAUGCCCUUGUUUCUUGCAAGGCCUCAAAGUCUAGUAGUGCUUCCAUGAGGUGCCCCGGUUCCCACGGUUCAGGCAGAUAUUGAACCUGUUGUUUGGUUGACUUGAUGAAGCUUAAAUGUGGGCAGAAAGUGGAGCUUUUAAUUUGGAGCUGAUCUGGACAACUAGUUCAACAAAGUACUCCAGCUUAAACCUGACUUGUGUAUUAUUAAAUCUGGUGGACUUGAUCAUAAAUGAGAAAUCUGCUUCGCCUCGCGUC